AAGCAACUUACUCAGCCUUGAAGAAGCAUUCUUUGUGCCAGGAUAAUUUCUUUAUCAAGAAGUAGAUUUUUCUUUCAUGUCCCACAACAAAGACAUACAGAACUUAGGGAAAUUACUUGAUCACAAUGAAUUAAAAAAUACUGACCAAUAACAAAUUAUAGAAAGCACUCAAACAUGUAUAGAUGUGCUCGGUAUGACUUGCAUUAAUAUAACACUGGAAAAACUUGGUGACUCUAAGAAAAGCAAAAUUGCACAGUAAAGCAGAUACAAGAAUGUCUGUUAACACUACAUGAUGAUGUGGCUGUGAAGAAGUCUUAAGUCUUUACAUAAGUCAUUUGCUACUUUCUUAUCUGUCUUCCAUGCCAGCCAAAGAAAUCUUCUAGACUAGAGCAUGAAGUCAAACAACAAUCUAAUGAUGCUGUUUUAACAAUUGCUCUCAUCUUUUAUUCCCUCUGAAAGAGUAAUACCAGAAGAAAUCCAUACAGAAUUAUGGGUUGGCACGCCUUCUUGUGCUGCAAGGAUAGAAGUUUGAAGAAGACAUAGAAGAAAAGAAUAACCAAAUAAACUUUUAGAAGUGUUCAUAGUUUCUGCAAGAGUAAAGCGUGGCUAUACAGAAAGAAAGGACACUGGCUGUCACGACUUCGACUUCGCAAGCCCAGGUGACCUUUUAGCUCACGAAGUUGCUUUCCUCCUCACUCAUUCACCCAUUAUUCCAUCAGCAGCAAUUCACAUCACUAGCUGCUGCAUGGAGAGGAUUAAAUUCUCAAAACAUGCCACAGUGCACAUAGAAAUUCACCAGAUGUAGAGAGCACUAUGAGUUGACCUGGCAAAGCAACAACCACUUCCAUCGCACUGGGGCUGUGUGAAUGGUACGAAUAAUUUAGUGACAGAACGUAAGUGGUUUCUGUAUUCAGAAAUAGUAUCCAAGUAAACUCCAUCCUUCUGUAAACCCAUGCACUAUCAGAAAAUAGGCAUUGCAUCAUUAUUUGCAAAUAUAAUUCUGUUCCUCUGCUAGUUCAGGAG
ensembl:lncRNA